AACNACUCUAUACUGUGNAACUGCGAAUGGCUCAUUAUAUCAGUUAUAGUUUAUUUGAUAGUACCUUACUACUUGGAUAACCGUAGUAAUUCUAGAGCUAAUACAUGCAUCAAAUCCCGACUUUUGGAAGGGAUGUAUUUAUUAGAUUGAAACCAAUGCAGGGGCAACCCUGGUAUUGUGGUGAGUCAUAAUAACUGUGCGGAUCGCAUGGCCUCGUGCCGGCGACAGAUCAUUCAAGNUUCUGCCCUAUCAGC
rnacentral:rRNA from 1 species